ACCUGCGUGGCUUAGUCAGAAGAGCAUGUGACUCUUGAUCUCAGGGUCAUGAGUUCAAGCCCCAUAUUGGGUG
rnacentral:tRNA from 1 species